UGGAUAGCCUCCCUCCUUCACGUCCUAGACGCUCACCUUCACGUCCUAGACGCUCACUUUCACGUCCUAGACGCUCUCCGUGGUCUUGGUCUUGGUCUAGACGCUCUCCUUGGCUUGUGCCUUGGCUUCCUUGGGUAGGUGUGCUUGGCCCUCCUCCAUCAUCCCCUCCCCCUUGGAAAGGAUUUGUCCUCAAAUCCAGCUCGUCACUGUCAUUGGUACCUACAAAUGGAGAAAGAUCAAUUACAUUAAAAGUGUCAUGUACUCCAUAUUCAAGAGGUAGGUCCAACUUAUAUGCAUUGUUGUUGACUCGCUUGAGAACUUGAAAAGGUCCAUCACCUCGGGGACUUAGUUUGGACUUCCUUUGAUUUGGAAAUCUAUCUUUUCGAAGAUGAAGCCAAACUAAGUCUCCUUCCUCAAAAAUUAUUUCUCUCUUCCCUUUGUUGUUGUAUUUUGUGUACUUCUCAUUUUGUUGUUGUAUUUGGAUUUUAAUCUUCUCAUGCAUUUUCUUGACAAAAUCAGCUUUGAUUACUCCUUCCUUAUGCACAAAAUCUUGUGGAUUAGGAAGGGGUAUUAAAUCCAUAGGCGUGAGAGGAUUAAAACCAUAUACGACCUCAAAAGGAGAAGCAUUAGUAGUUUUGUGAACUACUCUAUUGUAAGCAAAUUCAAUGUGGGGAAGGUACUCAUCCCAAGAUUUGUGGCUUCCCUUCAUGAUAGCCCUAAGCAUAGUUCCAAGAGAUCUAUUGACUACUUCGGUUUGACCAUCCGUUUGAGGAUGACAAGAAGUUGAAAAUUGUAGUCUUGUUCCAAGUUUACCCCAAAGAGUUUUCCAAAAGUGGCUUAUAAACUUGGGAUCUCUAUCGGACACUAUACUUCGAGGGAGACCAUGGAGUCUCACCACUUCUCUAAAGAAGAGUUUAGAAAUAUUUUGAGCAUCAUCUACUUUGUGGCAUGGAAUAAAGUGGGACAUUUUGCUAAAACGGUCCACUACCACAAAAAUAGAGUCAUGGCCUCUUGCAGUCCUAGGAAGUCCUAAAAUGAAAUCCAUGCUAAUGUCUUCCCAAGGAGCAUUUGCAAUCGGCAAAGGGGUGUAGAGUCCGUGCGGCAUUGUUCUAGACUUUGCUUUUAAACAUGAGAUACAUCUAGAACAAUGUCGUUGGACAUCUUUCCUCAUGUGUGGCCAACAAAAUUUUGCUUUUAAAAGAUCUAGAGUCUUAUCAACUCCAAAAUGGCCCAUGAGUCCCCCUUCAUGUGAUUCUUUGACAAGGAGCUUUCUAUGUGUUCCUUGGGGAAUGCAAAGUUUUCCUUCUUUAAAAAGAUAUCCCUCGGAGACAUAGUAACCUCCUUGUGCUCUAUGUAGACAUUGAGCAUAGAUGGAUGAAAGUUCUUGGUCUUCUUGGUAAAGCUCUUUUAUGUGGUCAAAUCCAAGAAUUUGGGCACCUAGUUUUGAAAAGAGUGUGUGCCGUCUUGAAAGAGCAUCGACCACUAUAUUGGUGCUUCCUUUCUUGUAUUUGAUUACAUAAGGAAAUUGUUCAAGAAAUUCCAUCCAUUUAGCAUGUCUCUUGUUGAGCUUGUGUUGGCCCUUUAAAUAUUUUAAAGACUCGUGAUCACUAUGGAUAACAAAUUCUUUGGACACAAGGUAGUGUUCCCAAGUCUUUAGGGCUCGCACAAGAGCAUAGAGCUCUUUGUCAUAGGUGGGGUAGUGGAGGGUGGCACCAUGGAGUUUUUCACUAAAAUAAGCAAUGGGGUGUCCACCUUGCAACAAAACCGCACCUAUGCCUACUCCCGAUGAAUCACACUCUAUCUCAAAAGUUUUGGAAAAAUUUGGAAGAGAUAGAAUGGGUGCAUUGGUGAGUUGAGCUUUGAGCCUUUGAAAGGCUUGCUCAUGCUUUUCAUUCCAACAAAAUGCAACAUCUUUUUUCACAAGUUCAUUCAAAGGAGAAGCUAGACUAGAAAAAUUAGGUACAAACCUUCUAUAGAAGCUAGCUAACCCAUGAAAACUUCUUACAUCACUUACAUUUUGUGGAGUUGGCCACUCGCGGAUGGCUUUGAUUUUCU
rnacentral:lncRNA from 1 species